UUUUGGGAAGAAACCAAUUUCAGGUUUUCCAGAAAAAGGCAACGCUGCAUGCCUACUUCCGUUACCAACGUUGGUCGCCCGUUCAGUGUUGGCGGGAGGACGAAAUGGAAAACUUGUCUUUCUCGUGAAGACGAAGACAGAGAAGAGUCUUUGCAGUUACAACCUGUUUAGUGCUCGGGAAUUACUUUUAUUGUUAAUCAACGUACAACUAAGCCAAGUUAAAGGGCUUACUUGUUAUCAAGUUUUCUAAAUUUAAAAUGUUACUGACCCUCCAUGAAUGUAGCAGAAGGCUGACACUGCGAACUAGAAUGUGAAAUUAGGAAAAGACGCAUUCUAAUUUCCUUCACAGCCAUCACAUCUACAUCUUUAAGGUCGUUCAAACUGAAAAUUCGUCAGUGUGUAAAGUAGCCAUUUCUCAGCGUGGUCUUCAGUUCACGUCAUAUCCUGAUGAUGGUUUGAUACCAGACCCGAUUAUCGAUAGUCCUGCGUUGCUUCAGCUAUACAGCCCGCUUAAUAAAGGCGUUGAUAGGGAACAACCAAACCAGUCGAGAAAAUACAUAACGUAGCCUACCAUACGGCAUUUAUUCAGCAUCCUCUCUACUUGUGUGUUUCCUGUUCAUCCGAUAUACUUGUCCGCAUAGCCGGCCCAUUCUAUUUAGAAUAGCAGCGAUCUCGUCAUCG